UACGGAGGAUGCAAGCGUUAUCCGGAUUUACUGGGUUUAAAGGGUGCGCAGGCGGAACGAUCAGUCAGUGGUGAAAUCUCCCGGCUUAACCGGAAAACUGCCAUUGAUACUAUCGUUCUUGAGUCCAGUUGAAGUAGGCGGAAUGUAGCAUGUAGCGGUGAAAUGCUUAGAUAUGCUACAGAACACCGAUAGCGAAGGCAGCUUACUAAACUGAAACUGACGCUCAGGCACGAAAGCGUGGGUAGCAAACAGG
rnacentral:rRNA from 1 species